rnacentral:rRNA from 1 species
UACGGGGGGGGCAAGCGUUGUUCGGAAUUACUGGGCGUAAAGGGCUCGUAGGUGGCCAACUAAGUCAGACGUGAAAUCCCCAGGCUCAACUUGGGAACUGCGUCUGAUACUGGAUGGCUUGAAUUCGGGAGAGGGAUGCAGAAUUCCAGGUGUAGCGGUGAAAUGCGCAGAUAUCGGGAGGAACACCGGUGGCGAAGGCGGUUCUCUGGGCCUGUACUGACGCUGAGGAGCGAAAGCGUGGGGAGCGAACAGG